CGACGCGGAUUACGGUGG
rnacentral:sRNA from 1 species